rnacentral:RNase_P_RNA from 3 species
GCAGCAGACCGUUCUAUCGCUGGUCCGUGAAAGCGGACGAGAGGAAAGUCCGGGCAACGCAGAGCGCCAUGCUUCCUAACGGGAAGGUGCCGAGAGGCACAGUAGUGUAACAGAAAACAACCGUCCCGGAUUACGGGAUAAGGGUGAAAAGGCGGGGUAAGAGCCCACCAGUCCGUAUGGUGACAUUCGGAGUUGUACACCUCAUGGGUUGAAAGGCCAUGUAUACCGGCAAUUAAGGGCUGCUCGCCCGAUGUCGGGGGGUAGGUCGUUUGAGUAAACGGGCAACCGGUUACCUAGAUAAAUGAUAGAAUUCCGGCAACGGAAACAGAACCCGGCUUAUAGGUCUGCUGCUUUU